rnacentral:lncRNA from 1 species
CUCUUCCUCUCUCAGAAACAGUUAUGGACCACAGGUAUGAAGUUUACGGCAUGCAAUGCCUUAAGAGAGAAUAUUAUGAAAAUGAUAUACAGGUGGUACAUGACCCCAGUCAAGCUUGCAAAAAUCUAUCAUUUGCCCGAUAACAAAUGUUGGAAAUGUAAAGAAACUGAAGGUACAUUCUUUCACCUUUGGUGGACGUGCCCAAGGAUUAAGGCUUUCUGGGAGAUGAUUUAUAAUGAAUUGAAAAAGGU